GACGAACGCUGGCGGCGUGCUUAACACAUGCAAGUCGAACGGAAAGGCCCUGCUUUUGUGGGGUGCUCGAGUGGCGAACGGGUGAGUAACACGUGAGUAACCUGCCCUUGACUUUGGGAUAACUUCAGGAAACUGUGGCUAAUACCGGAUAGGAGCUCCUGCUGCAUGGUGGGGGUUGGAAAGUUUCGGCGGUUGGGGAUGGACUCGCGGCUUAUCAGCUUGUUGGUGGGGUAGUGGCUUACCAAGGCUUUGACGGGUAGCCGGCCUGAGAGGGUGACCGGCCACAUUGGGACUGAGAUACGGCCCAGACUCCUACGGGAGGCAGCAGUGGGGAAUAUUGCACAAUGGGCGGAAGCCUGAUGCAGCAGCGCCGCGUGCGGGAUGACGGCCUUCGGGUUGUAAACCGCUUGCGCCUGUGACGAAGCGUGAGUGACGGUAAUGGGUAAAGAAGCACCGGCUAACUACGUGC
rnacentral:rRNA from 1 species